CUCCCAGUCAUUUCCUAUUGGGGUACAACUUGUCUCCAUUUUUCCCAAAUGUUGUCCCCAUUUUCCCACAUUUUUAUCCCAUUUAUCCCAAAUUUUUCCCGUUUUAUCCCGUUUUUAUCCAAUUUUUUCCCAUUUUUCCUCAUUUAUCCCAUUUUCAUAUAUUUUUUCCCCACUAUUAUCCUAUUUUUUAUUUUUCCCUAGUUUUCACCCAUUUUUCUCCUUUUUUCCUCCAUUUCCCCCUUUUAAACUCAUUUUUCCUCUAUUUUUUCUUAAUUUUUCUUUUUUUUUUCCCAUUUUUUCCUGCAUUUUAAUCUAUUUUUUCCCCAUUUUACCCUCUUUUUGCUCCAUUUUUCCCCAGUUUUUUCCCCAUGACCUCUCCUGUUUUCCCCAUUUUCUUCCAUUUUUCUCCCACUUUCACUUCACAUUUACCAUUUUUAUUCCCAUUUUCCCUUCAUUUUUCUCCCAGUUUCCCUCAUUUUUUUUCCCCAUUUUUAUCCUGGUUUUAUCUCGUUCUUCCAUCAUUUUAUCUCCAUCUUCUUCCAUUCCUUUCUCCCAUUUUUCCCAAUUUUUCCUCCAUUUCCAUCCCAUUUUUCUCUAUUUUUAUCCCAUUUUUUCCCUAUUAUUUUCCCAUGUUGGCUCCAAUUUCCCCCAUUUUUCCUCCAUUUCCAUCCUAAUUUUCCCUAUUUCCCCCUAAUCUUUUCCAUUUAAUUAUUCAAAAAAAUUAAUAUUUUCGUGGGAAAAAAGGGUGCUUUGGGGGCAAAACUCCAUGAAUUUGAAUCACAGCUUUCUCAUGAUUUUUCCAUGAUUUCCCCAUGAUUUCCAGCUGGAAGAAGGCGUGGGAUUCAUCUGAACAUUCUGGAAGCUAUAAUAGGACCAGGCCAUCAACCUUCCCAAAAAUCUGGACCAGCUCAUCUGCAAUUCCACCUUUCCCCACUCCCCGGAUUCCCAGGUCCGGAAAUUCUUCUACAACCUCCCAGGUAGGCAAUUCCCAAAAUUCCAUGGAAAAAUGGGAUAGGG
rnacentral:lncRNA from 1 species